AUGGAAGAGAGUUCAGCUUAGUGGCGAACGGGUGAGUAACACGUGAGCAACCUGCCUUUCAGUGGGGGACAACAUUUGGGAACGAAUGCUAAUACCGCAUAAGACCACAGUGUCGCAUGGCACAGGGGUCAAAGGAUUUAUCCGCUGAAAGAUGGGCUCGCGUCCGAUUGGCUAGAUGGUGAGGUAACGGCCCACCAUGGCGACGAUCGGUAGCCGGACUGAGAGGUUGAACGGCCACAUUGGGACUGAGAUACGGCCCAGACUCC
rnacentral:rRNA from 1 species